rnacentral:rRNA from 1 species
GGGGUGCAGCAGGCGCGAACACUGUGCAAUGCGCGAAAGCGCGACACGGGGAGCUUGAGUGUCUUGGCAUAGCCAAGACUUUUCUCAUUCCUAAAAAGCAUGAGGAAUAAGUGCUGGGUAAGACGGGUGCCAGCCGCCGCGGUAACACCCGCAGCACGAGUAGUGGUCACUUUUAUUGAGCCUAAAGCGUUCGUAGCCGGUUUUGUAAAUCUUCAGAUAAAGCCUGAAGCUUAACUCCANAAAGUCUGAAGAGACUGCAAGACUUGAGAUCGGGUGAGGUUAAACGUACUUUCAGGGUAGGGGUAAAAUCCUGUAAUCCCGGAAGGACGACCAGUGGCGAAAGCGUUUAACUAGAACGAAUCUGACGGUAAGGAACGAAGGCUAGGGUAGCAACCCGGAUUAGAUACCCGGGUAGUCCUAGCUGUAAACAUUGCCCAAUUUAUGGUGGCUUUUCCGUUGAGGGAAGGCAGUCGUCGANCGAA